AAAUUGGUAGUACAAUGGUAAAAUUCUUGCCUUCCGUGCAGGAGACCCGGGUUGGAUCCCCAGCCAAUAUG
rnacentral:tRNA from 1 species